rnacentral:tRNA from 1 species
GAGGGUAUAGCUCAGUGGUAGAGUGCAUGCCUAGCAUGCAUGAGGUCCUGGGUUCAAUCCCAUACCUCCA